GGCGGCGUAUUGCUGAGCCCCAUGGCGGCCUACGCGGUAUUGGCGUUGUUGCUUACCGGCGUAGUGCGCCUGGGGCUGCAGCGCGUUGGACUGGCGCAGUGGAUCUGGCACGAAGCCCUGUUCGACUGCGCCCUG
rnacentral:sRNA from 1 species